rnacentral:rRNA from 1 species
GUAGGUGGCAAGCGUUGUCCGGAAUUAUUGGGCGUAAAGCGCGCGCAGGCGGUCCUUUAAGUCUGAUGUGAAAGCCCACGGGCUCAACCGUGGAGGGUCAUUGGAAACUGGGGGACUUGAGUACAGAAGAGGAAAGCGGAAUUCCACGUGUAGCGGUGAAAUGCGUAGAGAUGCGGAGGAACACCAGUGGCGAAGGCGGCUUUCUGGUCUGUAACUGACGCUGAGGCGCGAAAGCGUGGGGAGCAAACAGGAUUAGAUACCCUGGUAGUCCACGCCGUAAACGAUGAGUGCUAAGUGUUAGGGGGUUUCCGCCCCUUAGUGCUGCAGCUAACGCAUUAAGCACUCCGCCUGGGGAGUACGGCCGCAAAGGCUG